rnacentral:rRNA from 1 species
UACCCGCGGCCCGAGUGGUGCUCAUUAUUAUUGAGCCUAAAGCGUCCGUAGCUGGCCGGGCAAAUCUCCGGGUAAAUCGGGCCGCUCAACGGUCCGAAUUCCGGAGACACUGCUCGGCUUGGGAUCGGGAGAGGGUGAAGGUACUCCCGGGGUAGGGGUAAAAUCCUGUAAUCCUGGGGGGACCACCAGUGGCGAAGGCGUUCACCUAGAACGAAUCCGACAGUGAGGGACGAAGCCCUAGGGCGCAAACGGGAUUAGAUACCCCGGUAGUCUAGGGUGUAAACGCUGCAGACUUGGUGUUGGGGGUCCUGCGUGGGCUCCCAGUGCCGGAGCGAAGGUGUUGAGUCUGCCGCUUGGGGAGUACGGUCGCAAGACUGAAACUUAAAGGAAUUGGCGGGAGAGCACCGCAACGGGAGGAGCGUGCGGUUCAAUUGGAUUCAACGCCGGAAAACUCACCGGAGGCGACGGAGGGAUGAAAGCCAGGCUGAAGACCUUGCCCGAUUCUCCGAGAGGUGGUGCAUGGCCGUCGUCAGUUCGUACCAUAAGGCGUUCUGUUAAGUCAGAUAACGAACGAGACCCUCGCCGUUAGUCGCGAUCUUACAAGCGAUUGUAGGAGCACACUAGCGGGAUCGCUGCCGUUAAGGCAGAGGAAGGAGAGGUCUACGGUAGGUCCGUAUGCCCCGAAUCUUCCGGGCAACACGCGCGCUACAAAGGUGGGGACAAUGGGACCCGACCUCGAAAGGGGGAGGCAAUCCUGAAACCCCAUCGUAGUCUGGAUCGAGGGCUGUAACUCGCCCUCGUGAAAAUGGAUUCCGUAGUAAUCGCGGGUCAACAUCCCGCGGUGAAUGUGCCCCUGCUCUU